CGCGGCCUAUCAGCUUGUUGGUGAGGUAAUGGCUUACCAAGGCUUCGACGGGUAACCGGCCUGAGAGGGUGACCGGUCACACUGGGACUGAGACACGGCCCAGACUCCUACGGGAGGCAGCAGUGGGGAAUAUUGCACAAUGGGCGAAAGCCUGAUGCAGCGACGCCGCGUGAGGGAUGACGGCCUUCGGGUUGUAAACCUCUUUCAGUCAGGAACAAGCCUUCGGGUGAGGGUACUGGCAGAAGAAGCACCGGCUAACUACGUGCCAGCAGCCGCGGUAAUACGUAGGGUGCGAGCGUUAUCCGGAAUUAUUGGGCGUAAAGAGCUUGUAGGCGGUUUGUCGCGUCUGCUGUGAAAGCCCGGGGCUUAACUCCGGGUCUGCAGUGGGUACGGGCAGGCUAGAGUGAUGUAGGGGUAACUGGAAUUCCUGGUGUAGCGGUGGAAUGCGCAGAUAUCAGGAAGAACACCGAUGGCGAAGGCAGGUUACUGGGCAUUUACUGACGCUGAGAAGCGAAAGCAUGGGGAGCGAACAGGAUUAGAUACCCUGGUAGUCCAUGCCGUAAACGUUGGGCACUAGGUGUGGGGAGCAUUCCACGUGUUCCGCGCCGUAGCUAGCGCAUUAAGUGCCCCGCCUGGGGAGUACGG
rnacentral:rRNA from 1 species